GGCUCGCUAGGCAAAUUGGAAAAGCCGCCUGAUUCAGAAUCAGGUGUUUCCGAGUUCGACUCUCGGGCGAGCUAC
rnacentral:tRNA from 5 species